CACAAAUGGGCUCCACUUGAUUCUAAAUAAUAAAAGCCAAAAUCAAAACAGAAGAAUCAUUUAUAAUCUGAAAUGACUGGUCAGCACAUAGUUAAAACCACCUACCUGGAUAUUUACAGAAAGGUUGCUUAGUUAAGGUUUCCAUUACUGGAAAAAAUCGUUCCAACUCCGAGGAAAAGAUCAAAAUUCGUCCUUACAAAUAUACGAAAGCAAAAAAAAAAAAAAAAAAAAAAAAGGAAUUUUUGACGGGGGAAAGAAGCACAGUGAUGACACAUUCUCUUGGUUUGUCUUGUAAAGGUGUUCUUACAUUUUUAGAAUGAAAGAAGUACAGGCAAAUACCACUACCUAAGGAGAUUCUUAGAUUCUUCUUCUACAAUGAUCAUGGUUUGAAACACAGACAUAAUGUGGUUAAUCUGCAACAAACUAUACACGGAAACUGAAACUGAAACUGAUGAUGGCUGGCUGAUUGGAUGAACUCUGGAUACUGUGAUAAUUGUCCUGUUAUAACUUCAUUGACAGUUGAGGGCAACAACUAGACCUUAGUGAGAACUUCACCAUGAACACCUUUAAGCUUUGCUGUGCAUUUGUGAUUCUUCUCACACUGAUGAAAGGAGCGCUUUUUCUGACCUGUGGGUUUUCUAAGUUUACCGAAGGCCUGAGUAAAGAAGAAAAAAGUUUUAUCAAUAUCAACUACACCAUCAACGUUAUGGCAAGUCCUGAUGUUACAGACACACUUAACGCUGAUUAUCAAGUAUGUGAAGGAAACUCUCUGAGAACUGCAUGUAUAUUUGUCUACGACAAAAACUUUAACGAGUUUAAGAAGGACGUGAGUGGAAGGACAGGAGUCACCUGCUACUGGGAACAACGACACGUGAGCAGCUCUGUGGUGGCUUUAGACAUCUACAUCUCUCAGGUCGUCACCAGGUCACUGAGUGCGAUGAUAAUCUCCACUGGCAGAGGUGGGGAUCCCAAACCUACCCGACUGAUACAUGUUGAGGUGUUGUACCCACCCAAUGUCAAGAGUCUGACUGUGGACGGGGGCGAUAAUGUCAUCAUCGAUGAGGACAAGGUGGUUAGUGUUUCCUGCUUCUUUGAGAAGGGCAAUCCCCCAGGUCUCUUCUAUUUGCUGGAUAAACAUGGAGCUAAGCUGAAUUCCUCUAGUUCUGAAGGACACCUUAGCUACUCUCUUACUGCCCGGUGUGAAGAUGACUGGCCAGUCGUCAGGUGUGAAGGCAACGGGUCGCAACAUAAUAUGUCCAUGGCAAUACUCGUCAAGUGUCGUCCUCAGUUUGUUUACAAGUCAACGAAAAUCAUCAAUCAUGGUGUUGACACUGUAACGUUUGGUGUCAAGGCUCACACCACAGCAGUCAAUGGAUGCCUCUUGACAUUACUCACUUUACAAGAAAACAACACUAGGGAAGUGAACUGCAUCCUUACUGGGAAUCCACCUGACCUCGUCCUAAGUCUUCAGCUCGAGAGAGACGACAGUUUCCGUGGAAACUGGACAUUGAUACUAAGCAAUGACUGGGGCUCUUCCAACACAACUUUCAUUGUGUUAGAUGAGUCAACACCAGAGCUAACUUCAGGGACAACAAUAAACAUCGAACUCGUGUGCGGCAUUGUGGCUGCUGUAGCUUUGAUCGCUGUUGCUGGUAUUUGUGCCAAUAGAAAGGUCAAAGUGCAAAGAUAUGAUACGAUUUUUAAAAAAGGUAAUGACUUUAAAUGUAGCCAAUAAGAUGGCUCUAAUAAUACCUGAAUACUGUUAGUUCUAAUUUUAAGAAGUAAACACACACAGUUUUGUUCAAAUUAGCAAUAGCUAACUUUUAAAAUAUUUUGUUGUGUCGAUUUCUGUCUUUGUUUGUAAUUGCUGUAUGUAUACAUUUUGAAAUGACAGAGUCACCAGCUCUGUUUUGUUUUUGUGAAUUAAGUAAAAUUAGGGGGAGGGGCAGCAAAGAAGUAGCGGAGAACCCCAGAGAAUAUCCGACUUGCUUUAUGUAUCUAAAGUGCGAUAUCAGACGAGUUCGUAUUAAACUGUUGUUCAAUGCACAUCAUCAAGUACGAUCUAUGCGCCCCAGGGUUAAAUGAAGAGAAACUUAACCCUCCCUGUUCCCCACGAGUGUAUUUACUAUAAUUCAUAUAAGUCACCGCUUAGUAUGAACACCGACAGACAUAUUGGAUGUUUGUACGCGUCCGUGGUAUGAGGAAUGGAAAACGCCAGCGACAUCUUUCUUUGGUAAGUACAUUUAAUUUUCAUGGUAUCUAUCUAUUUCAAACAUAAUUAACAUCUAGACUUAUCAAUGAAGUCUUGAAAUAAUUUUCUCCAAAAACUUUUUUUUUCGUAAAUAAAUCAUGUAUCGAGGGAUUUUAAUCAACUAAUAAACGUGUGAAAAUUCUUGGCAUAUGAAAUACAUAGGUUCGCUCCUAGUAUGGUUACUAGGUUUUCUCUUAGUAUGCUUACUUGAUUGAAUAGUUUGUUGGUAGAAAAUGACGACCUUCAGCUCGAAGCAAUUCACACUACAAAGUGAGAGAGAUGAUAGAAGAGAAGGAAACAAGGCUUCCUGAAAUAAAGUCGGAUGGCAGAAUGGCAUAGAGCAACAGAAGACCACUGUUUGUGAGAAGGAUUUCCUGAGAAAGUUUGUUUCCUUGUGUUGACACCGGCCUAAGAGACUUUAGAAGAGGAUCAUGGGCGAAGGUCGAAUAUUCAGCGUGAAUAAACCGAAACUUCGUAUGUCUCUGCAAACAAGAACCAUAGAAGUCCACUUGCGCGUGAGACUCUGGGCAGAGGAAGGUGCGCACGUUUCACUGGUUAAAUAUAUUUUUGUGAAUACUAAAGAAACUGUUAUAAAAGGCCCGGUACAUAAAAUUGGAUACAUGGAAAGACAUAUGAAGGCUGGCAUAGUUCUAACAUUUAACUUUCAACAUAAGAAAUAAUGGACUUUCAGAAAAUUAACAAUUAAAUGUUUCAAUACAAAAUCUCUUGAAACAGUGGUUAAGUUAUUUUAAAUUUAGCUUUUUAGUAUUGUAUUAUUUGUAUUAUUAUUUAGUAUUGCUUAUUGCAAUAUUUUAGUAUAUAUUUCUAUUUUAGCUUGUUAUCGCUUUAUUUAUAUACGUUAAAAAUAUAGAGAGUCACCAGCUCUAAUGUGGUUUUGUGAGUGAUAUAAAACUAGGGGGAAGAAGUGGAGGAUAAUCCCAAAGGUUAUCCGACUUGCAUUGUGCGUCUAAAGAGCGACAGCAUAGUUUAUAAGUAUAAACAUGGUAUAAACACCGAGAUAACCAGUGAGUACUGCUAGUCGUUACAUGGAGAGAUAAGUGCUAACCUUGUUAUUAAAAGAAUGAAUACGAUUUUUAAAUUUAGUUAUUUUCCCACCGUAAAAAGGCUAGUUAUACCCACAGUAAAAAUCGUAUGAUCUUUUUUUUUCUUAUCCUUAUUCUGUUUUUCUGUCGACUUGUCUGUGCAUGAUAAAAGAAUAAACGACAGGGAAAAGUGAUGUAGUAAUAAGCAGAAUAAAAUGAAUUAUAAAGAAUAUGACUUGUCUGAUAUAAGGAUUGGUGAUAAUAGACUGGUAGCAAAGCAUGAAGGCAUGAAACGUUUUUAUUAUUUGCAUUAAACAUUCUGUAAAGAGUAAAAGCACAACAAAACGAUGAAGUAGCUUAGACCAAGAUAUUUAAAAAGAAAGUAAGAAAGUUUUGACUCUAGGGUGACAAAUGUUUUAUGAAGAACUGGCUUCCUUGUAUAAAGAGAUAAAAGCUUAGUCUUAUGCAGAGAAAUUUUUAACAUAAACUUUGGUAAAGUGUCUGUUUCCAUGUGCAAAUACAACUACAGACACUUAUGUUCAUGGGCAUUUAAAAACUUGUCUUUAUGCAUAGAUUAUUUUAACACACACACAUACAUAUACUGAUAUAAUGAAAUGAGGAACUUACCUUACGCGUUGAUUUUUACUGUAGAAUUGUUUGUGUCGGUCUCAUAUGUUUAUAUGUAUGAUUGGCUCUGUAUUACCCCUAUGUAUUUCACUAACAGGGGUAUAGCAGGGUAUUCUACUCGAUGUAGUUGUGGUUUCUUUUUACACAGGGUGUGUGGACUCAAAGUGUUCUCCCCUACGAAAGUAGUACAGAGGUAAAAGGGUAUUCGUCAUCUUCUCUCACACUGCCAAGUGUACAAAUCACAGGCCUACAGAUGGGAGCAGUGAUCCGUACGAAAAUGUAAGAGGAAACUUACCAAGAAACCAGAGUUCCAUGAAAUGAAGCUGGAGAGCAGAGUGGCAGAGAGAGCGUACCCCGAGAGAGACCGCUGUUUCUAAGAAGAAAUCCGUAAAAGUUUCCUUGAAUCAACACUUACUCAGGGGCAUUUAGAGAAGACUCAUGGUGGAGAGGACUGUGUCUAGAACUGUUGGAGAAGCUGGAGACACCAUUCUGUAAUGGGAUGUUGAUGGACUGAUCAACUCAGACCUAGUUAAACAAUCACGAGUUCGCCCGAGCCACUGGAAUAAAAACAAAAUAUUCUAAUAUAUUCUAUAAUUUUCUGGAGGGAAAAGAUUUUCCCAUCCAAUGUACAGCCUGUUACAGACAAGCUAAAAGGCAAUGAGAGGUUGAUGCCGAGACCAAUGGUCGUGAUUACUGUUUUGUUGUAAUGAACAAUUUAUAAAUUGAAAGCAGGUGUCAAAGAGUAUUUCACUGUUUGAGGUCUGACUGUUGAAAAAAUGAAUAGUAAAGGAACUGUUAUGUAAGUGUAAGAUCUGGUACAUACAAAAGGACAAAUGAAGAUGAUCUGAGUACAGGCCCAUUGAUUUUUUAUGUUGAAAGUUUAUUGUUAGAGCUAUUCCAGAUUUUAUUGCUUAGCUUUAAAGCACACAAACUGACACGAUGGCAUGUGGAACAUAUCUUAGGAGUUGAUUUUCAGAGUAGCAUUAAUUUUCGGUCUUGUAUAUUUUUAUGUAUGUUUACUUUUCUUAUUACACCUCUGUAUUUCUUUAACAGGGGGAGUACAUGACAUCCAACUAGAUAUAGCUGUGGUUUCAUUUACAGGUUGUGUGGACACAAAGUGUACUCCCUCUAUUAAAGUAAUGCAGAGGCAAAAGGGUAUUCGUCAUCUUCUCUCACACUGCCUAGCUUUUUCAUACAUUAUACAAAUUUUAUAACAAAAUGUGCAUUAGAUUGUUCAGAAUUUUAUUUCGAGAUUCUUUUUGGCUUUUAGCUGACAUUUAUUACGAGAAAAGCAGGUAUACAAUCUUAUCCUGUACUAAUUUCCAGAACAAAUUUUCAGAUUGUAAUUAUGUUGAGCAUUUUAAAAACUUAAGCAAUGCUGUUCAUAUCUACAACAUGUACAUGUCUUCAAUUUAUUUCCAUUUUCUUGCAUGGAAUAUAUUCAGCUGUGUCUACUGUUAAUCAACCAAUCUCCCCUUUCACUCAGAAUGAUAUGUGACCAUCACCAUGACAUACAAAACCACAAUCAGAGUAAGCGAAGGUAGACAAACUUAAUAUUAAUGGGCUAAAUCAGGGAUGCCCAACCUACGGCCCGCGGGCCAUAUCCGGCCCGCGACACGGUGCAAUCCGGCCCGCGAAACUUCUGCCCACAGUGCAGGAAAUCGGCAUGUUAGUAAUAAAAGAAGAC